GACGAACGCUGGCGGCGUGCCUAAUACAUGCAAGUAGAACGCACAGUUUAUACCGUAGCUUGCUACACCAUACACUGUGAGUUGCGAACGGGUGAGUAACGCGUAGAUAACCUGCCUUGUAGCGGAAGAUAACUAUUGGAAACGAUAGCUAAUACUGCAUAAUAUUGAUUAUUGCAUGAUAAUUGAUUGAAAGAUGCUAUUUCAUCACUACCAAAGGGACCUGCGUUGUAUUAGCUAGUAGGUGAGGUAACGGCUCACCUAGGCGACGAUACAUAGCCGACCUGAGAGGGUGAUCGGCCACACUGGGACGGAGACACGGCCCAGACUACUACGGGAGGCAGCAGUAGGGAAUCCUCGGCAAUGGACGAAAGGCUGAACGAGCAACGCCGCGUGAGUGAAGAAGGUUUUCGGAUCGUAAAGGUCUGUUGUAAGAGAAGAUCGGGUGUGAGAGUGGAAAGUUCACACUGUGACGGUAUCUGAACAGAAAGGGACGGCUAACUACGUG
rnacentral:rRNA from 1 species